CUUAUCUUCCUUCAAGCCCAACUCCAGUAUUACUUCUCAUGUGAAGUCUUCCCUGAUUCCCCAUCCCACUCUCUUUUCACAUAUCUAAUUGAAAAUGAUUCUUUCCCUUCUCAGGCAUUGUCUACAUUGGAUAAUGUAGUGAAUAUAGUGAACUAAAUGCCUCUGACAAGUGAACUCAAAAGUGAUAACUGCAUCUGGUUUGCCCGUUUUAAGGAACCACUGGAGCUCCUUGAACAGGAAGAUGAUAUGAUCAGGCUUAGGAAGAUCACUUUAGCAGCUGAGUCCAUCCUUAAAUGAACUAGAGUGGAAGAGAUGAGGCAUGGCAAUAUUCAUCUACAACAGGAGCAACAUUACAUACCUUUUACUAAGUGAAACUGGUUAAGAUGUAUUGUCCAUCUUGUGGGGAUUGUGUGCCUUCCAGAUGAAACAACUUCUGGCAUGAACAUUUCUUAUACUGUGUGUAUACAUAUAUAUGCAUAUAUAUGCUUUUUCUUUAAAAAAUUGUUGCAUUGAAAUUCCCAAUUAUCUCUCAUUCUCCCUCCCUUUCCUGCACUAUA